rnacentral:misc_RNA from 1 species
GAUGAAGAACGUAGCGAAAUGCGAUAAGUAAUGUGAAUUGCAGAAUUCAGUGAAUCAUCGAAUCUUUGAACGCACCUUGCACUCCUUGGUAUUCCGAGGAGUACGCCUGUUCGAGUGUUAUGAAGCUCUCAAAACGCAAUUGGCUUAAAACCUGAUUGUUGUUUUGGAUUUGAACUUUGCCGUGUUAUAACGGCUGGUUUUAAAAGUAUUAGCUGGUACUAGAACGAAUUGGUUCUACUCAACGUGAUAAUUAUCUGAUCGUUGAGGUCAUUCCUUUCACGAGGAAUGGCCAUAGUAAAUUCAAUGGACUGCUUCUAAUCUGGCUUUAAUUCUUUAUUGGAUUAACCACUUUUCAAAUCUGACCUCGAAUCAGGUGGGACUACCCGCUGAACUUAAGCAUAUCAAUAAGCGGAGGA